rnacentral:rRNA from 1 species
UACGUAGGGGCCGAGCGUUGUCCGGAUUUAUUGGGCGUAAAGCGCGUGUAGGCGGCCAUCUAAGUCGGGCGUGAAAUCCCACGGCUCAACCGUGGAAGUGCACUCGAAACUGGAUGGCUAGAGUCCUGGAGAGGAAGGUGGAAUGCUUGGUGUAGAGGUGAAAUUCGUAGAUAUCAAGCGGAACACCGGUGGCGAAGGCGGCCUUCUGGACAGUGACUGACGCUGAGACGCGAAAGCGUGGGGAGCAAACAGG